AAAAAACAUCCUGCUCCUCUGGUGGAGAUAAGGUCUCACAUCCAGACCGUGGCGCAGUUCACUUCACAAGUCUCCGUGUCUCCAGGAUCUCUGCUCCAUCUGACUGGUCCACAGGAAGAAAUCGCCAGAGACAGCACUGUCAGGACCACGCCAUAAGGACCGUGCUUUAGCGCCCCCUAUCGAGCCAUAGUUGAAGAACCGGAGACCGCACCGUCAGGACCGGGCUUUCAGUGAGAUCACUGUGUUGACUGAAGAUGUCUGGUGUGGAUGAAGAGGAGGACAGAUCAGGUGUGGACAGACAUCAGCAGCUGAGACACACAGCAGAGUCUUCAGGAUCCAGCAGGUUGUCUCUGAAGAGUAACCGGUCCAAAGGUCUUCUACCAAAGUUCAGUGUUGACCCUGGACCUUCAGACACAAAAGAGAAGAGGACUGAUGUCUGUGAGGAGCAGCCAGAAAGAUCCAGAAGUGUGGGUCUGC